UAAAUGGGACAAAUCUAAUCUAAUGGGGAAAAUGUUAGUUUUUCCUGUCCUCCACCACUUGCACUUCUCCUCCAUCUGCCACACAUACUUCUGAUGGCAGAGAAAUGUGUUUUAAGUUUCAGUUAUUGAAAGUCUUUAAAAGUAGACUGAAAUGUCAUCUUCCUUUUUACGGUUAUUAAGUAGGUAUCAAUUACCAUGUUUACUGCAACACCCAAAGUUUACUGCACUGUUGUUCCUGGAAAUGCAGCCAUAGCACAGAGACAGUUUCUAUCUUGGGAGCAAAGGGAGGUGAUCUGAGGCACACACCAAUGCUGUUAGCAAUUGCCUUGGGCUCAGACUGUGUUACAGAGAGGCUGCUCCACAAACAGCACCCACCUACUCCCAAGGUUUUCCCUCAGAAGUGGCAUGUGAGCUCUGCCUCUUCCAUCCUGCCUGUGCACCUUCUGUCCUAUGUGACCAAAAUCCUGCUCUGCACCCCUGGGUGAGUAAGUGGACAAGAUGGUGCAUGGCUUUUCCAGAUCUCAACAAGAAAACUCCAAGAACAAGUGGCAUAAUAAAACAGACAUUGUAAUACA
rnacentral:lncRNA from 1 species